rnacentral:rRNA from 2 species
CCCUUGAUCUUAGUUGCCAGCAUUCAGUUGGGCACUCUAAGGUGACUGCCGGUGACAAACCGGAGGAAGGUGGGGAUGACGUCAAAUCAUCAUGCCCCUUAUGACCUGGGCUACACACGUGCUACAAUGGAUGGUACAAAGGGCUGCAAGACCGCGAGGUCAAGCCAAUCCCAUAAAACCAUUCUCAGUUCGGAUUGUAGGCUGCAACUCGCCUACAUGAAGCUGGAAUCGCUAGUAAUCGCGGAUCAGCAUGCCGCGGUGAAUACGUUCCCGGGCCUUGUACACACCGCCCGUCACACCACGAGAUUUGUAACACCCGAAGUCGGUGGAGUAACCGUAAGGAGCUAGCCGCCUAAGGU